UUAAUUACUUGCGAGAAUUCGUCUCAAUAAUCAGUACCAUUAUGAUCGUCGGCACUUUUACCUACGGUGUUGCUCUACUCCUUAUUUCCAUUCUGAAUGAUAUGUCGUUGGUGCUGAAAACAAAAAAUAUAUCUGGUUACUUGCUCACCGGUACUUCAGUAUUUCAACUGUACUGGAUGGGACAAAAUCUGGAUGAUUCGAUAUCUGAUGUAUGCCUAGCACUCUACUGUACUCCUUGGUAUCGAUCGGUUAAAGUUCGAAAGACAAUAUGCAUUUUGAUCUCCCAAACGCAAUCGGUGAAAAAUAUUUCCAUCUUUGGAAUUUGGGGAUUGCUGUUGAAUAGUUUUGCGCGAUAUUUACACAACAUGAUAUCCAGCACGAAUCUACUACGUCGGCUUAUAAUGAAAUAAAUUAUCAGUUUUAAAUAUUACUUAUCAUUAUGCAUAGUUGAAAGUUCACGUUUACUUACUGAAUUCCUCAGCACUCGAGACAUUUUCAAAAGGAUGUUUUUAGACAGUUGUUCUGCACUGAUGAGAUGAUUUUUCUACUCUAUUGUCACAAAAUUUGAAUCAAACUGCGAUAGACAUGAAAAGAACUGGAAGUUUGCCUCCUUGAAAAACUUGAAAAAUUUUCAAGAGAUGUGGAACUUUUGUAGACGAGGAUAUAAAAAUUUGAUAUUUGAAGAAGAGGGCAUCUUUACAAGUAAGAAUAAAAUUUGAUCAAGGGACGUGAGAGGAGAUUGAAAAGUUUAGUGGAAAUGGAAUUACAUAAUGUUAU